rnacentral:rRNA from 1 species
AUGGGGGCUUCUGGUGUCUGGUUCGUCAUCGACGACAACCACCACGUGCUUCAGCUCACUGCUGCCGAGUCGAUUCCAAUAAUUGAGCGGCAGGCCGUAACCAACAAAAUAUCUUCAGGAAUGGCCUCGGCGGAGCACGGCAAGAAGCUGCGGAUCCUGCUCGUCCCCUUCUUCGCCACGAGCCACAUCGGCCCGCACGCCGACCUCGCCGUCCGCCUCGCCGCGGUCAGGCCUGACACCGUCGAGCCCACGAUCGCUGUCACCCCAGCCAAUGUCUCGGUUGCUCGAUCAGCACUCGACCGGCACGGCCCCGCGGCGAGCGCUGCCAUCAGGAUAGCCACCUACCCGUUCCCGGACGUGGACGGCCUGCCGCCGGGCGUCGAGAACCUCUCCGCCGCUGCCGCGGGCGACGCGUGGCGCAUCGACGCCGCUGCCAUGGAAGGGACGCUGACGCGCCCCCCUCAGGAGGCGCUCAUCAGGGAGCGGUCCCCCGACGCUGUUGUCACCGAUAUCCACUUUUUCUGGAUCUCCGUCAUCGCGGACGAGCUAGGCGUGCCGUGCAUCACGUUCAGCGUCAUGCCCCCCUUCUCAACCCUCGCCAUGCGCAAUAUCGCUGGCGCAAUCGACGGCCUCUCCGAUCAACAGGAGGUGGUCGUCCCUGGGUUUAGGCCCGAAGAUUCGGAUCCUAAGGACGGAGCUGCCGGAGUUCUUGAGACGCCAAGAGAGACACGACCGAUUCAGCCCGGUCUUGGCGGGGCAAGCCAGGUGCUUCGGCCUCGCCGUCAACACCUUCUUGGACAUGCAGCAGCAGUACUGUGA